rnacentral:rRNA from 1 species
AUUGAACGCUGGCGGCAGGCCUAACACAUGCAAGUCGAGCGGGGUUUUCGGACCUAGCGGCGGACGGGUGAGUAAUGCGUAGGAAGCUGCCCGAUAGAGGGGGAUACCAGUUGGAAACGACUGUUAAUACCGCAUAAUGUCUACGGACCAAAGUGUGGGACCUUCGGGCCACAUGCUAUCGGAUGCGCCUACGUGGGAUUAGCGAGUUGGUGAGGUAAUGGCUCACCAAGGCGACGAUCUCUAGCUGGUUUGAGAGGAUGAUCAGCCACACUGGAACUGAGACACGGUCCAGACUCCUACGGGAGGCAGCAGUGGGGAAUAUUGGACAAUGGGCGCAAGCCUGAUCCAGCCAUGCCGCGUGUGUGAAGAAGGCCUUCGGGUUGUAAAGCACUUUCAGCGAGGAGGAAGGGUGGUGUGUUAAUAGCACAUCAUUUUGACGUUACUCGCAGAAGAAGCACCGGCUAACUCUGUGCCAGCAGCCGCAGUAAGAC